AUUAGUAAUACUAUGCCCACUCUGUCUAUGAGGCACUGGAGGUUCAGAAUGGUGAAGACUUGCUCCAAGGUCCCACAAACUAGGUGCCAGGGGUGCUUUUCAAGCUGGCUCCAUGUUGCUAAAAGUAGCCAUUUGGAGGUUGGGCCUUUUAAAUGACUUUCCUCCUGAAUUUCGCUCUCCACCCCCUAAAGAGAGCUAACAUCAGCGUGCUCCCGCCUUUGUUUAUUUACCAUAGUUAUCUUUCGGACCCUGUUUUCUUUCGGGGAGUAGGGGUGGGCCUCCCUAGAGGAAGGAAGUGUGCUGCACCAGCCAGUGCUUUCCUCUAGGAGGAGCCGAGUCGUCCAGAUGAAAGUGACACGCACCAACUCCAACUCCUUGCAGGCAAAGGCAGCAAUCUGAGCUCCCAGGAAUUCGCUCCCCGGGCGGCUCUCGCCUCCUCCCCAGCCCAUCUCCCACCAGCUGCCCUCACUCCUCCUUUGGCUGGAGCGCUCCCUCCCCUCCCGUCCCGAGCCUAGACCCUGGAGCGUGCUGCUCUCUCCCGGUUUCAACGAGAUCCUCAAUCCGCACCCCACCCCUCACCCCUGCAAAAAAGCUGCCUCUCCCUUUCCCUGGUUCCCACCCCUCCCGUACCCUCCCCUCCACUCCCCUCUCCUCCCCUUUACCCCGCCCCCCUCUCCACCCCUCCUCUCCCGAAGCCUGACAGCCCGAGAGCUGCCAAGCAGGGCGCAGCCAUGGGAAGGGGAGGAGGUAGAGGCGGCGGCGGCGGCGGCGGCGGCUGCUGCAGCAGCAGCGGUGGCAGCUGUGGCUGCUGCUGAGCGCCCCGGCAGCGGGGACCCCCCUGGGGCGCCCGGGCGCAACCCGCCGCUGCGAGGAGAGAGACCCUCGGCUCGCUCUGCUACGAGGCUCCGCUCCAAGGAUUAACAGGAAAAGAAACCAUAGAAUCAGGAGGCUGGAAAAAGGACCUUAAUGGGCAAGGAUGGAGACAACCUCCUGAAAGCACUAUUGGCCAAGUUCCUGUGGUGCCAAAUCACAAGGCAAGGUUUCCAAGGAGCAUUUACUGCAUCAAGAUGUUUUGUUUAAUGUCGGGAGAAAACAAGAACACUUCCAGCAUUGUGGAUGAACCGGCCCCUCUGAUGACCUUGUGGGUGGACACGGA